UUUCACGGUUAUGAUGAGCUUUUUUCUCCUAUUUCCAAGAUCGAAUUCCAGUUUUUUCUUAUCGAGUGUCUUAUUAUUUUUCCUUUUUUCUAGCUUCUUGCUUGCUACCUUCUACUCUCUCUGUUUUCUACUGGGCUCUCUUGAGUUCUGUUGGGGCUUUCUCGAAAGGCUAGCUUUAUCUCUGGGUGGUAAGGCUCUUUCCUUUUUUCUCAGAGGAUUGGGCUGCUCCGGAGCGCUGGCCCUGGCGAUUGCAUGGUUUCUUCAAUUCUGCAUUUCUGAAUCGUCAAACAUGAUGGCUCCUUCGGGGGCCUCUGGCUCAGGAUCAGGUGAGGGCGCUGGAGGAAGUCGCUUUCGCUGGGCUUCGAAAUUAGCAGAUUUAUUUGGAAGUAGUUCCCCUGCUAAUUCUGAAGCCGGUCUUAACCAACCGGCCCCGGACUCUCCCAACCCUGGUGAACCCGCAGCCCCUCCUAUUGCGGAGCCUUAUCAUCUGUUACAGGAGGAUGGAGAGAGACUAAGGGAGCUCGCGGGGUGCCUUACGAUAAAUACUAUCGAGUGUCCCUUGCCCGAGGCUAUUUCCGAGGCGGUUAUUAACGCCCAAUUCCAAACGGAAUUCAAAAUCGAGGAAGCCUUUCAUUCAGACAGAGUGCAAGACACGUCUCUUUUUGAGAAAAGGCACCUGAUUCGGGGGGAAGUCUUCUAUCCCUUUGGGAAGCCCUUAUCCUUGGAAACCUACUUGGACCACCUAUCUCAGAUAGAGAACUAUGGGACCCAUCGCAGCCUGCCUUAUAAAAGGGUUUUGCAAGCGAUUGCUCGACAGGACUUAGAUCUGGUCUUUGAAGGAAUGAAAAAAAUGAGAGAUUGUAGAGCUCCUCUUUGUCAGCGGCAUUCUCCCUUCUAUCUAUCAACCAUUUCAUUAUGGAACUUUCUCCCCGAGCUGCGGAACUAACAAGUCUAUUAGAAAGUCGAAUUAGACACUUUUACAUGAAUUUUCAAGUGGAUAAAAUCGGUCGAGUGGUCUCAGUUGGGGAUGGGAUUGCACGUGUUUAUGGAUUGAACGAGAUUCGAGCUGGGGAAAUGGUUGAAUUGGCCAGCGAUGUGAAAGGAAUAGCCUUGAAUCUUGAGAAUGAGAAUGUAGGGAUUGUUGUCUUUGGUAGUGAUACUGCUAUUAAAGAAGGAGAUCUUGUGAAGCGCACUGGAUCUAUUAAGGAUGUUCCUGCGGGAAAGGCUAUGCUAGGGCGUGUGGUCGAUGGCUUAGGAGUACCUAUUGAUGGAAGGGGGGCUCUAAGCGAUCACGAGCGAAGACGUGUUGAAGUGAAAGCCCCUGGGAUUAUUGAACGUAAAUCAGUGCAUGAGCCUAUGCAAACAGGUUUAAAAGCGAGAUAGCCUGGUUCCUAUAGGUCGUGGUCAAUGAGAACUUAUAAUCGGGGACCGACAAACUGGAAAAACUGCUAUUGCUAUCGAUACCAUAUUAAACCAAAAGCAACUGAACUCAAGGGCCACCUCUGAGAGUGAGACAUUGUAUUGUGUAUAUGUAGCAAUUGGACAGAAACGCUCAACUGUGGCACAAUUAGUUCAAAUUCUUUCAUAAGCGAAUGCUUUGGAAUAUUCUAUUCUUGUAGCAGCCACCGCUUCGGAUCCUGCUCCUCUACAAUUUUUGGCCCCAUAUUCUGGGUGUGCCAUGGGGGAAUAUUUUCGUGAUAAUGGAAUGCACGUAUUAAUAAUCUAUGAUGAUCUUAGUAAACAGGCGGUAGCAUAUCGACAAAUGUCAUUAUUGUUACGCCGACCACCAGGUCGUGAGGCUUUCCCGGGGGAUGUUUUCUAUUUACAUUCCCAUCUCUUAGAAAGAGCGGCUAAACGAUCGGACCAGACAGGCGCAGGUAGCUUGACCGCCUUACCCGUCAUUGAAACACAAGCUGGAGACGUAUCGGCCUAUAUUCCCACCAAUGUGAUCCCCAUUACUGAUGGACAAAUCUGUUUGGAAACAGAGUUCUUUUAUCGCGGAAUUAGACCUGCUAUUAACGUCGGCUUAUCUGUCAGUCGUGUCGGGUCUGCCGCUCAGUUGAAAACUAUGAAAAAAAUCUACGGUAGUUCAAAACUUGAAUUGGCACAAUAUCGCGAAGUGGCCGCCCUUGCUCAAUUUGGCUCAGACCUUGAUGUUGCGACUCAGGCAUUACUCAAUAGAGGUGCAAGGCUGACAGAAAGUACCGAAACAACCACAAUAUGCACCACUGCCAAUUGAAAAACAAAUUCUAGUCAUUUAUGCAGCUAUCAAUGGAUUUUGUGAUCUAAUGCCACUAGACAGAAUUUCUCAAUAUGAGAGAGCCAUUCCAAAUAGUGUCAAACCAGAAUUACUACAAUCCUUUUUAGAAAAAGGUGGCUUAACUAACGAAAGAAAGAUGGAACCAGAUACAUUCUUAAAAGAAAGUGCUUUAGCUUUUAUUUCAAUUUAAUACAAUACAAGGAAAGGAAAAAGGUCUCUUAUGGGUACCACAAAUAAAAGGAAAAAAUAGCUAAAAAGAGUCUGCUUCCUUUAUGAUCUCUUUCUUAGAAAAUAAAUUGCGUAAAUUCUGCCUUUUUUGAUCCCAUGCUUUCCGUUGGUCAACAACCAACUAAAUCUAUACUUCUUCACUACUCGUACAGGGAAGGUGGAAGAAAUUCAGUCUCUUUUUUUUUGGGGGGGAGCAGAGAAAGAAAAAAUAAUCUUAUUAUUUUUGGAUAUGGAAAACAGUGCAUUUCUACUCACCCCGAGCGAUCUUCACUUUAUGCAAAGUUCCACUUCUUCCUUCGCUUCUUCUACUAGUUCAACUACGUCGGACGCGCAAAGCGCUCCACCGGAGUUAACUCAGUUAUUUCGCGACAUCUGCAAAAAUAGCGCAGAGUUGCUUCGACUCAGCGGUAGGGACGUACCCGAGAGGUGGAACAUAGCGGAUCUAGUUGAGGAUGUUAUAGGAGACGACGCUCUUCUAAUUCCAGGGCACCUCCAAGAUACCUAUUACGAUGCUCUUUCAAAAGGGUGUUCUAGCUGGCUUUUCAAAGACCUAUCUGAAUUUAUAGAAUUAACGCAGAAUCUCGUCUAACAACCAC